rnacentral:rRNA from 1 species
GGACUACAGGGGUAUCUAAUCCGUUUUGCUCCCCACGCUUUCAUGCCUCAAUGUCAGUAAUAGGAUAGUUAACUGCCUUCGCCUUAUUGGUGUUCUUCCAUAUAUCGUCACAUUUUACCGCUCCACAUGGAGUUCCGUUAACCUCCCCUAUACUCAAGCACAAUAGUAUUAUCAGCUUCCACGAGGUUGAGCCCCGAUUUCCCACUGACAACUUGUCAUGCCAUCUACGCAUCCUUUACGCCCAAUAAUUCCGGAUAACGUUCGCCACCUAUGUCUUACCGCGGCUGCUGGCAC